UUGCGGGUAUCCUGCAGUGAAUACAUAGCUGCUGGAAGCGAACCUGGUGAACUGAAAUAUCUAAGUAACCAGAGGAAAAGAAAUCAACCGAGAUUCCGUAAGUAGCGACGAGCGAACGCGGACUAGCCCUUAAGCUGAUUUGGUUCUAGGAAAACACUCUGGAAAGAGUGGCCAUAGAAGGUGAUAGCCCUGUAUCUGAAAGGGCCAUUUCAGUGAAGACGAGUAGGGCGGGGCACGUGAAACCCUGUCUGAACAUGGGGGGACCAUCCUCCAAGGCUAAAUACUACUGACCGACCGAUAGUGAACCAGUACCGUGAGGGAAAGGCGAAAAGAACCCCGGAGAGGGGAGUGAAAUAGAACCUGAAACCGUGUGCGUACAAGCAGUAGGAGCUCCGCAAGGAGUGACUGCGUACCUUUUGUAUAAUGGGUCAGCGACUUACUGUUCGUGGCAAGCUUAACCGUAUAGGGGAGGCGAAGGGAAACCGAGUCUGAUAAGGGCGCAUAGUCGCGGGCAGUAGACCCGAAACCGGGUGAUCUAGUCAUGCCCAGGGUGAAGGUGCGGUAACACGCACUGGAGGCCCGAACCCACUCCCGUUGCAAAGGUAGGGGAUGAGGUGUGAUUAGGAAGUGAAAAGCUAAUCGAACCCGGAGAUAGCUGGUUCUCCUCG
rnacentral:rRNA from 1 species